UACGGAGGGGGCUAGCGUUGUUCGGAAUUACUGGGCGUAAAGCGCACGUAGGCGGCUUUGUAAGUUAGAGGUGAAAGCCCGGGGCUCAACUCCGGAAUUGCCUUUAAGACUGCAUCGCUCGAAUUGUGGAGAGGUAAGUGGAAUUCCGAGUGUAGAGGUGAAAUUCGUAGAUAUUCGGAAGAACACCAGUGGCGAAGGCGGCGAUCUGGGUCGAUACUGACGCUGAGGUGCGAAAGCGUGGGGAGCAAACAGG
rnacentral:rRNA from 1 species